rnacentral:rRNA from 1 species
UACGAAGGGGGCUAGCGUUGCUCGGAAUCACUGGGCGUAAAGCGCACGUAGGCGGAUCUUUAAGUCAGGGGUGAAAUCCCAAGGCUCAACCUUGGAACUGCCUUUGAUACUGGGGAUCUCGAGUCCGGAAGAGGUGAGUGGAACUGCGAGUGUAGAGGUGAAAUUCGUAGAUAUUCGCAAGAACACCAGUGGCGAAGGCGGCUCACUGGUCCGGUACUGACGCUGAGGUGCGAAAGCGUGGGGAGCAAAUGGGG